rnacentral:sRNA from 1 species
AGAGCCACCGGAUCGACACCGCGGGUGACGACGAGAUAGUCGCGGAUCGCGAUGCUGUGGCGGCCCUC